GUAGACAGAAGAGGAAAUGGAGGAAGAGGAGGACGCUUGAGACCAAGUCCAGGCACUGGACACCCAGGUCCAGUGAGGAUAAAGCCCCAAUCUUCUGAACUCAGAUGAUGGACCAAGUAUGUAAUGAGAACAAGACAUACACCAAGAAAACAACUACAAGCCACAGAGCUUAGAUUCUAACUGUACAGAAAGAUGAAAGAAAACAUGACCAAGAAACAGAUUACUGGAUACAUAGUCUUUUGGAAAGACCUCGGCAGGACAAUUGGUGUCUAUGAGGAGAGGCAGAAGUCUGGAUUUGUCCCCUCUAUUGAGUGUUCAACAGAAAC